GCAAACUUGGUCAUUUAGAGGAAGUAAAAGUCGUAACAAGGUUUCCGUAGGUGAACCUGCGGAAGGAUCAUUACUGGGUUGGGCUCUGCCCGCUACCCGCCCUUGUCAUCUGUAUGCUAUUCUUCGGCUUCGGCCGGCAGUACUCUUGAAGCAUUUUGAAGUCUGAACUUUUUGUUAAUAAGAAAAAAACUUUCAACAACGGAUCUCUUGGUUCUGUAUAAGAGACAGGCAAACUUGGUCAUUUAGAGGAAGUAAAAGUCGUAACAAGGUUUCCGUAGGUGAACCUGCGGAAGGAUCAUUACUGGGUUGGGCUCUGCCCGCUACCCGCCCUUGUCAUCUGUAUGCUAUUCUUCGGCUUCGGCCGGCAGUACUCUUGAAGCAUUUUGAAGUCUGAACUUUUUGUUAAUAAGAAAAAAACUUUCAACAACGGAUCUCUUGGUUCUGGCAUCGAUGAAGAACGCAGC
rnacentral:misc_RNA from 1 species